CACUGAGUACGAAUUUGAUGGCGACCGGCGCACGGGUGAGUAACGCGUAUCCAACCUUCCCCUUACUCAGGAAUAGCCCGUUGAAAGACGGAUUAAUGCCUGAUGUUCUCAUGUUGCCGCAUGGCGAUAUGAGCAAAGAUUCAUCGGUAAGGGAUGGGGAUGCGUAUGAUUAGCUUGUUGGCGGGGUAACGGCCCACCAAGGCAACGAUCAUUAGGGGUUCUGAGAGGAAGGUCCCCCACACUGGAACUGAGACACGGACCAGACUCCUACGGGAGGCAGCAGUGAGGAAUAUUGGUCAAUGGGCGGGAGCCUGAACCAGCCAAGUCGCGUGAGGGAAGACGGCCCUACGGGUUGUAAACCUCUUUAGUCGGGGAGCAAAAAGGACCACGCGUGGUCCAUUGAGCGUACCCGAAGAAUAAGCAUCGGCUAACUCCGUG
rnacentral:rRNA from 1 species